rnacentral:tRNA from 1 species
GAGAAAUUAGUUAAAAAAAUAACUUAGAAAUGUCAUUUCUAAAUUACCUAUUAAGGUAUUUUUCA